rnacentral:rRNA from 1 species
GACGAACGCUGGCGGCGUGCUUAACACAUGCAAGUCGAACGGAAAGGCCCUGCUUUUGUGGGGUGCUCGAGUGGCGAACGGGUGAGUAACACGUGAGUAACCUGCCCUUGACUUUGGGAUAACUUCAGGAAACUGGGGCUAAUACCGGAUAGGAGCUCCUGCUGCAUGGUGGGGGUUGGAAAGUUUCGGCGGUUGGGGAUGGACUCGCGGCUUAUCAGCUUGUUGGUGGGGUAGUGGCUUACCAAGGCUUUGACGGGUAGCCGGCCUGAGAGGGUGACCGGCCACAUUGGGACUGAGAUACGGCCCAGACUCCUACGGGAGGCAGCAGUGGGGAAUAUUGCACAAUGGGCGGAAGCCUGAUGCAGCAACGCCGCGUGCGGGAUGACGGCCUUCGGGUUGUAAACCGCUUUCGCCUGUGACGAAGCGUGAGUGACGGUAAUGGGUAAAGAAGCACCGGCUAACUACGUGCCAGCAGCCGCGGUGAUACGUAGGGUGCGAGCGUUGUCCGGAUUUAUUGGGCGUAAAGGGCUCGUAGGUGGUUGAUCGCGUCGGAAGUGUAAUCUUGGGGCUUAACCCUGAGCGUGCUUUCGAUACGGGUUGACUUGAGGAAGGUAGGGGAGAAUGGAGUUCCUGGUGGAGCGGUGGAAUGCGCAGAUAUCAGGAGGAACACCAGUGGCGAAGGCGGUUCUCUGGGCCUUUCCUGACGCUGAGGAGCGAAAGCGUGGGGAGCGAACAGGCUUAGAUACCCUGGUAGUCCACGCUGUAAACGGUGGGUACUAGGUGUGGGGUCCAUUCCACGGGUUCCGUGCCGUAGCUAACGCUUUAAGUACCCCGCCUGGGGAGUACGGCCGCAAGGCUAAAACUCAAAGGAAUUGACGGGGCCCCGCACAAGCGGCGGAGCAUGCGGAUUAAUUCGAUGCAACGCGUAGAACCUUACCUGGGUUUGACAUGGAUCGGGAGCGCUCAGAGAUGGGUGUGCCUCUUUUGGGGUCGGUUCACAGGCGGUGCAUGGCUGUCGUCAGCUCGUGUCGUGAGAUGUUGGGUUAAGUCCCGCAACGAGCGCAACCCUUGUUCACUGUUGCCAGCACGUUAUGGUGGGGACUCAGUGGAGACCGCCGGGGUCAACUCGGAGGAAGGUGGGGAUGACGUCAAGUCAUCAUGCCCCUUAUGUCCAGGGCUUCACGCAUGCUACAAUGGCUGGUACAGAGAGUGGCGAGCCUGUGAGGGUGAGCGAAUCUCGGAAAGCCGGUCUCAGUUCGGAUUGGGGUCUGCAACUCGACCUCAUGAAGUCGGAGUCGCUAGUAAUCGCAGAUCAGCAACGCUGCGGUGAAUACGUUCCCGGGGCU